AUUGAACGCUGGCGGCAAGCCUAACACAUGCAAGUCGAACGAGUGGCGGACGGGUGAGUAAUGGAUGGGAAACUGCCAGAUGGAGGGGGAUAAAUACUGGAAACGGUAGCUAAUACCGCAUACCUACGGAUGUGCCCAGAGGGGAUUAGCUAGUAGGUGGGGUAAAGGCCCACCUAGGCGACGAUCCCUAGCUGGUCUGAGAGGAAGACCAGCCACUCUGGAUCUUAGACACGGUCCAGCCUCCUACGGGAGGCAGCAGUGGGGAAUAUUGCACAAUUGGCGCAAGCCUGAUGCAGCCAUGCCGCGUGUAUGAAGAAGGCCUUCGGGUUGUAAAGUACUUUCAGCGGGGAGGCGUUACCCGCAGAAGAAGCACCGGCUAACUCCGUGCCAGCAGCCGCGGUAAUAC
rnacentral:rRNA from 1 species